AUCCUUUCCCAGUUUAUAAGCAUGAUUUUGGGGGUUCACGCCUUUGUGUUUGAUCGGCCUCCCUUAAGCCUUGUUUGGAUACCCGCACAUUACCCUUCUGAUG